rnacentral:rRNA from 1 species
GAUGAACGCUGGCGGCGUGCCUAGUACAUGCAAGUCGAGCGAACGGACGAGAAGCUUGCUUCUCUGAUGUUAGCGGCGGACGGGUGAGUAACACGUGGAUAACCUACCUAUAAGACCGGGAUAACUUCGGGAAACCGGAGCUAAUACCGGAUAAUAUUUUGAACCGCAUGGUUCAAAAGUGAAAGACGGUCUUGCUGUCACUUAUAGAUGGAUCCGCGCUGCAUUAGCUAGUUGGUAAGGUAACGGCUUACCAAGGCAACGAUGCAUAGCCGACCUGAGAGGGUGAUCGGCCACACUGGAACUGAGACACGGUCCAGACUCCUACGGGAGGCAGCAGUAGGGAAUCUUCCGCAAUGGGCGAAAGCCUGACGGAGCAACGCCGCGUGAGUGAUGAAGGUCUUCGGAUCGUAAAACUCUGUUAUUAGGGAAGAACAUAUGUGUAAGUAACUGUGCACAUCUUGACGGUACCUAAUCAGAAAGCCACGGCUAGCUACGUG